rnacentral:sRNA from 1 species
CCCUAGCCCCGAUAGAAGCGGCAUCCUUUUGUGGUGGGGUUCACCACAAAAGAUACAGCGGAUAGCGGGAUUAGCU